UGGGGAAUAUUGCACAAUGGGCGCAAGCCUGAUGCAGCAACGCCGCGUGAGGGAUGACGGCCUUCGGGUUGUAAACCUCUUUUGUCGGGGAAGAAGCCGUGAGGUGACGGUACCCGGAGAAAAAGCACCGGCUAACUACGUGCCAACAGCCGCGGUAAUACGUAGGGUGCAAGCGUUGUCCGGAAUUAUUGGGCGUAAAGAGCUCGUAGGCGGCUUGUCGCGUCUGCCGUGAAAUCCUCAGGCUCAACCUGAGGUCUGCGGUGGGUACGGGCAGGCUAGAGUGCGGUAGGGGAGAUUGGAAUUCCUGGUGUAGCGGUGGAAUGCGCAGAUAUCAGGAGGAACACCGAUGGCGAAGGCAGAUCUCUGGGCCGUAACUGACGCUGAGGAGCGAAAGCAUGGGGAGCGAACA
rnacentral:rRNA from 1 species